rnacentral:rRNA from 1 species
UAUCUCUGUAGAGUCUGCAUAUCAAUAAGCGGAGGAAAAGAAACUAACAAGGAUUCCCUUAGUAACGGCGAGUGAAGCGGGAAGAGCUCAAAUUUGAAAUCUUCAAGGUUUUACCUUGACGAAUUGUAGUUUAAAGAAGUGUUUUCUGUUGAAGUUUCGGUAAAAGUUCUUUGGAAUAGGACAUCAUAGAGGGUGAGAAUCCCGUAUUUGACCGUUAUUUUCAGCUGUGUGAUACACUUUCAAAGAGUCGGAUUGUUUGGGAAUGCAGUCCAAAAUGGGUGGUAAAUUUCAUCUAAAGCUAAAUAUUGGCGAGAGACCGAUAGCGAACAAGUACCGUGAGGGAAAGAUGAAAAGAACUUUGAAAAGAGAGUUAAACAGUACGUGAAAUUGUCAAAAGGGAAGCGUUUGACACCAGUGUUGUUUUCUCGAAAAUCAAUUAAAAAUGGCUUGAUUUUGUGUUGUAUUGACCUUAAAAGCUUUCUUCACUUUUUUCAUGUCUUUUUUAAUGCACUUUUCGUUUAACAAGUCAACAUCAGUUUCUUUUGUUGUAAAAAGGUCAUUGGAAGGUGGCUUUCUUUUCGGAGAAAGUGUUUAUAGCCUUUGACUCCUGCAAUCGGAGAGACUGAGGUCUGCAGCGUAGAUCCUUCUGGAUUAGAUUCAUUUGUGCUAAGUUACAACCGUUUAUAGACAACUUGUUGACUAUAUUCGAUCCUGUAGCUUACUCGCUUAUGUAAUUUUACCUACGCUUAGGAUGUUGACUGAUAUGUAGUCGUA